rnacentral:rRNA from 1 species
GACGGAGGGGGCUAGCGUUGUUCGGAAUUACUGGGCGUAAAGAGUGCGUAGGUGGUUUAGUAAGUUGGAAGUGAAAGCCCGGGGCUUAACCUCGGAAUAGCUUUCAAAACUACUAAUCUAGAGUGUAGUAGGGGAUGAUGGAAUUCCUAGUGUAGAGGUGAAAUUCUUAGAUAUUAGGAGGAACACCGGUGGCGAGGGCGGUCAUCUGGGCUACAACUGACACUGAUGCACGAAAGCGUGGGGAGCAAACAGG